GACGAACGCUGGCGGCGUGCUUAACACAUGCAAGUCGAACGGUAAGGCCCUUCGGGGUACACGAGUGGCGAACGGGUGAGUAACACGUGGGUGAUCUGCCCUGCACUUCGGGAUAAGCCUGGGAAACUGGGUCUAAUACCGGAUAGGACUCCGGACUGCAUGGUCUGGGGUGGAAAGCUUUUGCGGUGUGGGAUGGGCCCGCGGCCUAUCAGCUUGUUGGUGGGGUGAUGGCCUACCAAGGCGACGACGGGUAGCCGGCCUGAGAGGGUGACCGGCCACACCGGGACUGAAAUACGGCCCAGACUCCUACGGGAGGCAGCAGUGGGGAAUAUUGCACAAAGGGCGCAAGCCUGAUGCAGCGACGCCGCGAGAGGGAUGACGGCAUUCGGGUUGGAAACCUCUUUCAGCAUCGACGAAGCGAAAGUGACGGUAGGUGCAGAAGAAGGACCGGCCAACUACGUGCCAGCCGCCGCCGUAA
rnacentral:rRNA from 1 species